GUGCUCGCUUCACCAGCACACAUAUUAAAAUUGGAACAAUACAGAGAAGAUUAACAUGGCCCCUGCGCAAAGAUGACACAAAAAUUCGUGAGGUGUUCCAUAUUUAA